UACGUAGGGGGCAAGCGUUGUCCGGAAUUAUUGGGCGUAAAGCGCGCGCAGGCGGUCCUUUAAGUCUGAUGUGAAAGCCCCCGGCUCAACUGGGGAGGGUCAUUCGAUACUGAUCGACUGGAAGGCAGGAGAGGGAAGCGGAAUUCCCGGUGUAGUGGUGAAAUGCGUAGAUAUCGGGAGGAACACCAGUGGCGAAGGCGGCUUCCUGGCCUGUUCUUGACGCUGAGGCGCGAAAGCUAGGGGAGCAAACGGG
rnacentral:rRNA from 1 species